rnacentral:lncRNA from 1 species
GCUAAGGCAUUCAUAGACAAGUGUUAUUUGUUUUUUCAAACAAACGAGAUUAAAAGAGAAAACCAAAUAAUGGAGAGAACCCAGCACAGAGCCAGUGAACCAGGAUGUGAACUGCAAGAUGUGGUAUUUCAUUUGUGACAGCUACUUCUACAAGCUUGAGGAAGAAAAAAUACUGGAAAGGAAAUUAGUUCGAAUCAUUAUUAAUAGAACAUUCAAGAGGAAAUCUCCUAUCCAACCACCAUGGAAUUUACCUGCUGUGAUGAGGUUUUACAGGAUGCCAAGUGCCACUCUAAAGCAAGGAACUAAACCAUCUAUACAGAAAUUGCAUUUGGGGUGCUCUUUUGCCAGCAUUAUUCCACUUCAUCCUAAAAAAGAAAAGGACACAUCCUGGAUAUCCAUAAGCAGCAGCCAUGUUCCUUUGUUGGAGACACACAUUCUGAAUGUCUGGAGACCACUGCACUAGCAUAAUAUAAUGUUUCUCAGAAAAAUAAUUUGCCAAGUGAGUUUGUGUGGCAGAACCUAAAGGCAAGUCCAUGUCUCACGUGGAGCCAAGACCAUGCUUUUUCCCAUGUCUCACAGCCACUCUAGAGAACUUUUAGGAGACAUUCAGUUGGCAGUACGUGCAUGACACUUUACCACCGAAGAUUGUGUCUAUUCUUCCAUUGCCUUGAAUUUGACCAGUAGUCACAAGGAGAGGCACUGGAGCACCAGAUAUAUGAAUGAAGAAACUACCUUGGCAUCCAGCCUAGUUGAGCCUUUGGAUAAGUCCAGCCUCAGCCCUAUCAUACUGCAACUGCAUGAACGACCCCAAAGAAGAGCCAUCCAG